rnacentral:siRNA from 1 species
AUACUUUAUGCAUUUGGUACAUUA